CGUCAUACAUCUCAGUAGUCAAUGACUCGUAAAACAACAUGGCGCUGGAAGCCUUUGUGACCGGGGAAUCGGUCCUUGGCUUAUUCCCUGUAUACCCGCAUCUUUUGGGAAUUUUUGCUUUUAUUUGCAUGUAUCUUGGUUCUACUCCGCAGACAUUAAUGAAGAAAUGUCCACGCUAAUAAGUCUUAAGACAUCAAGAGUUUCUGGCAACUUUUCGAAGAGUUUAGUUGAACAAUUUUUACAAUAAAGACAAAAGCAUGUGUGCAACUGGAAGGAAAGGAAGAUAGUCUCUCCCCAAAAUGAGGUUUCCAUGAUCAGUUACUGCAUGGGUGGUUCUGUUGCUCGUCUUGGCUCCAUGGAGGUGUAAGGAUCCCCCAAUAGCCGAGUUACUAGUUAAAGAUGGGAUGGUUGCACAACUAGAAACGGCUAAUGAGGAGAAAGGCCAUAAACAGUGGGAGCAGGACCACCUAGUGGAUAGAUAAGGUACUGAAGAACCAUAGGAAGUACAAUGUUUGGUUGUGGAUAACGUACUGAAGAACCGUAUAAGGUAAAAUGGACGGGAUGGUAGCACAACUACAAGCCGCUAAUGUGCAGAAAGACCAUAAACAGUGGGAGCAGGAACACCUAGUGGAUGGAUAACUUACUAAAGAACCAUAGUGGGAUGGUUGCAAAACUAGGAGCGGCUAAUGAGUAGGAAAGGCCAUAAACAGUGUAAACAGGACCACCUAGUGGAUGGAAAACUUACUGAAGAACCAUAGCAAGUAAAACGUUUGGCUAGUCAUAAGAGGGAAGA